rnacentral:rRNA from 1 species
AAAUUGAAGAGUUUGAUCAUGGCUCAGAUUGAACGCUGGCGGCAGGCCUAACACAUGCAAGUCGAGCGGUAGCACAGAGAGCUUGCUCUCGGGUGACGAGCGGCGGACGGGUGAGUAAUGUCUGGGAAACUGCCUGAUGGAGGGGGGAUAACUACUGGAAACGGUAGCUAAUACCGCAUAAUGUCGCAAGACCAAAGUGGGGGACCUUCGGGCCUCAUGCCAUCAGAUGUGCCCAGAUGGGAUUAGCUAGUAGGUGGGGUAACGGCUCACCUAGGCGACGAUCCCUAGCUGGUCUGAGAGGAUGACCAGCCACACUGGAACUGAGACACGGUCCAGACUCCUACGGGAGGCAGCAGUGGGGAAUAUUGCACAAUGGGCGCAAGCCUGAUGCAGCCAUGCCGCGUGUGUGAAGAAGGCCUUCGGGUUGUAAAGCACUUUCAGCGGGGAGGAAGGCGAUAAGGUUAAUAACCUUGUCGAUUGACGUUACCCGCAGAAGAAGCACCGGCUAACUCCGUGCCAGCAGCCGCGGUAAUACGGAGGGUGCAAGCGUUAAUCGGAAUUACUGGGCGUAAAGCGCACGCAGGCGGUCUGUCAAGUCGGAUGUGAAAUCCCCGGGCUCAACCUGGGAACUGCAUUCGAAACUGGCAGGCUAGAGUCUUGUAGAGGGGGGUAGAAUUCCAGGUGUAGCGGUGAAAUGCGUAGAGAUCUGGAGGAAUACCGGUGGCGAAGGCGGCCCCCUGGACAAAGACUGACGCUCAGGUGCGAAAGCGUGGGGAGCAAACAGGAUUAGAUACCCUGGUAGUCCACGCCGUAAACGAUGUCGAUUUGGAGGUUGUGCCCUUGAGGCGUGGCUUCCGGAGCUAACGCGUUAAAUCGACCGCCUGGGGAGUACGGCCGCAAGGUUAAAACUCAAAUGAAUUGACGGGGGCCCGCACAAGCGGUGGAGCAUGUGGUUUAAUUCGAUGCAACGCGAAGAACCUUACCUGGUCUUGACAUCCACAGAACUUUCCAGAGAUGGAUUGGUGCCUUCGGGAACUGUGAGACAGGUGCUGCAUGGCUGUCGUCAGCUCGUGUUGUGAAAUGUUGGGUUAAGUCCCGCAACGAGCGCAACCCUUAUCCUUUGUUGCCAGCGGUUCGGCCGGGAACUCAAAGGAGACUGCCAGUGAUAAACUGGAGGAAGGUGGGGAUGACGUCAAGUCAUCAUGGCCCUUACGACCAGGGCUACACACGUGCUACAAUGGCAUAUACAAAGAGAAGCGACCUCGCGAGAGCAAGCGGACCUCAUAAAGUAUGUCGUAGUCCGGAUUGAGUCUGCAACUCGACUCCAUGAAGUCGGAAUCGCUAGUAAUCGUAGAUCAGAAUGCUACGGUGAAUACGUUCCCGGGCCUUGUACACACCGCCCGUCACACCAUGGGAGUGGGUUGCAAAAGAAGUAGGUAGCUUAACCUUCGGGAGGGCGCUUACCACUUUGUGAUUCAUGACUGGGGUGAAGUCGUAACAAGGUAACCGUAGGGGAACCUGCGGUUGGAUCACCUCCUUACCUUAAAGAA